CCUACGGGAGGCAGCAGUGGGGAAUAUUGCACAAUGGGGGAAACCCUGAUGCAGCGACGCCGCGUGAGCGAUGAAGGAUUUCGGUAUGUAAAGCCCUAUCAGCAGGGAAGAAGAUGACGGUACCUGACCAAGAAGCCCCGGCUAACUACGUGCCAGCAGCCGCGGUAAUACGAAGGGGGCAGGCGUUAUCCGGAUUUACUGGGUGUAAAGGGGGCGCAGACGGCGAUGCAAGCCAGAUGUGAAAGCCCGGGGCCCAACCCCGGGACUGCAUUUGGAACUGGGUGGCUGGAGUGCAGGAGAGGCAGGCGGAAUUCCUAGUGUAGCGGUGAAAUGCGUAGAUAUUAGGAGGAACACCAGUGGCGAAGGCGGCCUGCUGGACGGUGACUGACGUUGAGGCUCGAAGGCGUGGGGAGCAAACAGGAUUAGAUACCCCAGUAGUC
rnacentral:rRNA from 1 species